GAAUUUUGGACAAUGGGGGAAACCCUGAUCCAGCCACCCCGCGUGUGCGAUGAAGGCCUUCGGGAUGGAAAGCACUUCUGGCAGGGAAGAAAAGGCUCUGGCUAAUAUCUGGAGCUGCUGACGGUACCUGCAGAAUAAGCACCGGCUACCUACGUGCCACCAGCCGCGGUAAUACGUAGGGUGCAAGCGUUAAUCGGAAUUACUGGGCGUAAAGCGUGCGCAGGCGGUUUGGCAAGAAGGAUGUGAAAUCCCAGGGCUUAACCUUGGAACUGCAUUCUUAACUGCCAGGCUAGAGUAUGUCAGAGGUGGGUAGAAUUCCACGUGUAGCAGUGAAAUGCGUAGAGAUGUGGAGGAAUACUGAUGGCGAAGGCAGCCCCCUGGGAUAAUACUGACGCUCAUGCACGAAAGCGUGGGGAGCAAACA
rnacentral:rRNA from 1 species